rnacentral:rRNA from 1 species
UGAGGAAUCUUGCGCAAUGGGCGAAAGCCUGACGCAGCGACGCCGCGUGGAGGAUGAAGGUUUUCGGAUUGUAAACUCCUGUUGAGUGGGAAGAAAUGCCUAUUGCUAAUACCAAUAGGAGAUGACUGUACCAUUAAAGAAAGCACCGGCUAACUACGUGCCAGCAGCCGCGGUAAUACGUAGGGUGCUAGCGUUAUUCGGAAUUACUGGGCGUACAGGGUGUGUAGGCGGCUUGUUAAGUCGAUUGUUUAAUGUCCCGGCCUAACUGGGAAGAUGCGGUCGAAACUGGCGAGCUUGAGGAUGGGAGAGAGAAGUGGAAUUCUCGGAGUAGCGGUAAAAUGCGUAGAUAUCGAGAGGAACACCAAUGGCGAAGGCAGCUUCUUGGCCCAUUUCUGACGCUGAGGCACGAAAGCGUGGGGAGCAAACAG